AGCCCGUUAAUGGGUGAUGGCGUGCCUUUUGUAGAAUGAACCGGCGAGUUACGAUUUGAUGCAAGGUUAAGCAGUAAAUGUGGAGCCGUAGCGAAAGCGAGUCUGAAUAGGGCGUUUAGUAUUUGGUCGUAGACCCGAAACCAGGUGAUCUACCCUUGGUCAGGUUGAAGUUCAGGUAACACUGAAUGGAGGACCGAACCGACUUACGUUGAAAAGUGAGCGGAUGAACUGAGGGUAGCGGAGAAAUUCCAAUCGAACCUGGAGAUAGCUGGUUCUCUCCGAAAUAGCUUUAGGGCUAGCCUCAAGUGAUGAUUAUUGGAGGUAGAGCACUGUUUGGACGAGGGGCCCCUCUCGGGUUACCGAAUUCAGACAAACUCCGAAUGCCAAUUAAUUUAACUUGGGAGUCAGAACAUGGGUGAUAAGGUCCGUGUUCGAAAGGGAAACAGCCCAGACCACCAGCUAAGGUCCCAAAAUAUAUGUUAAGUGGAAAAGGAUGUGGCGUUGCCCAGACAACUAGGAUGUUGGCUUAGAAGCAGCCAUCAUUUAAAGAGUGCGUAAUAGCUCACUAGUCGAGUGACACUGCGCCGAAAAUGUACCGGGGCUAAACAUAUUACCGAAGCUGUGGAUUGUCCUUUGGACAAUGGUAGGAGAGCGUUCUAAGGGCGUUGAAGCAUGAUCGUAAGGACAUGUGGAGCGCUUAGAAGUGAGAAUGCCGGUGUGAGUAGCGAAAGACGGGUGAGAAUCCCGUCCGCCGAUUGACUAAGGUUUCCAGAGGAAGGCUCGUCCGCUCU
rnacentral:rRNA from 1 species